GAUGAACGCUGGCGGCGUGCCUAAUACAUGCAAGUCGAGCGAACAGACGAGGAGCUUGCUCCUUUGACGUUAGCGGCGGACGGGUGAGUAACACGUGGGUAACCUACCUAUAAGACUGGGAUAAAUUCGGGAAACCGGAGCUAAUACCGGAUAAUAUUUCGAACCGCAUGGUUCGAUAGUGAAAGAUGGCUUUGCUAUCACUUAUAGAUGGACCUGCGCCGUAUUAGCUAGUUGGUAAGGUAACGGCUUACCAAGGCAACGAUACGUAGCCGACCUGAGAGGGUGAUCGGCCACACUGGAACGGAGACACGGUCCAGACUCCUACGGGAGGCAGCAGUAGGGAAUCUUCCGCAAUGGGCGAAAGCCUGACGGAGCAACGCCGCGUGAGUGAUGAAGGUCUUCGGAUCGUAAAACUCUGUUAUUAGGGAAGAACAAACGUGUAAGUAACUGUGCACGUCUUGACGGUACCUAAUCAGAAAGCCACGGCUAACUACGUG
rnacentral:rRNA from 1 species